rnacentral:tRNA from 1 species
GGAGAGAUGGCUCAGUGGUUAAGAGCACUGACUGCUCUUCCAGAGGUCCUGAGUUCAAGUCCCAGCAACCACA